rnacentral:rRNA from 1 species
UACAGAGGUCCCGAGCGUUGUUCGGAUUCAUUGGGCGUAAAGGGUGCGUAGGCGGUCUGCUAAGUUUGGUGUGAAAUCCCGGGGCUCAACCCUGGAAUGGCAUUGAAUACUGGCGGACUAGAGUACCGGAGAGGAAACUGGAAUUUACGGUGUAGCAGUGAAAUGCGUAGAGAUCGUAAGGAAGACCAGUGGCGAAGGCGAGUUUCUGGACGGUAACUGACGCUGAGGCACGAAGGCCAGGGGAGCGAACGGG